rnacentral:tRNA from 1 species
UAUCGAAGAUCUCAGCUUCUUCAUAAGCUCCCACACGAAUUGCUUGAUUCACUGGUUAGACGAUUGGGUCUGUAGCUCAGUUGGUUAGAGCGCACCCCUGAUAAGGGUGAGGUCGGCAGUUCGAAUCUGCCCAGACCCACCAAUUGUUGGUGUGCUGCGUGAUCCGAUACGGGGCCAUAGCUCAGCUGGGAGAGCGCCUGCUUUGCACGCAGGAGGUCAGGAGUUCGAUCCUCCUUGGCUCCACCAUCUAAAACAAUCGUCGAAAGCUCAGAAAUGAAUGUUCGUGAAUGAACAUUGAUUUCUGGUCUUUGCACCAGAACUGUUCUUUAAAAAUUCGGGUAUGUGAUAGAAGUAAGACUGAAUGAUCUCUUUCACUGGUGAUCAUUCAAGUCAAGGUAAAAUUUGCGAGUUCAAGCGCGAAUUUUCGGCGAAUGUCGUCUUCACAGUAUAACCAGAUUGCUUGGGGUUAUAUAUGGUCA